rnacentral:rRNA from 2 species
UAACAUCAAAUCGUACCCCAAACCGACACAGGUGGUCAGGUAGAGAAUACCAAGGCGCUUGAGAGAACUCGGGUGAAGGAACUAGGCAAAAUGGUGCCGUAACUUCGGGAGAAGGCACGCUGACACGUAGGUGAAGUGAUUUACUCAUGGAGCUGAAGUCAGUCGAAGAUACCAGCUGGCUGCAACUGUUUAUUAAAAACACAGCACUGUGCAAACACGAAAGUGGACGUAUACGGUGUGACGCCUGCCCGGUGCCGGAAGGUUAAUUGAUGGGGUCAGCGCAAGCGAAGCUCCUGAUCGAAGCCCCGGUAAACGGCGGCCGUAACUAUAACGGUCCUAAGGUAGCGAAAUUCCUUGUCGGGUAAGUUCCGACCUGCACGAAUGGCGUAAUGAUGGCCAGGCUGUCUCCACCCGAGACUCAGUGAAAUUGAACUCGCUGUGAAGAUGCAGUGUACCCGCGGCAAGACGGAAAGACCCCGUGAACCUUUACUAUAGCUUGACACUGAACAUUGAGCCUUGAUGUGUAGGAUAGGUGGGAGGCUUUGAAGUGUGGACGCCAGUCUGCAUGGAGCCGACCUUGAAAUACCACCCUUUAAUGUUUGAUGUUCUAACGUGGACCCGUAAUCCGGGUUGCGGACAGUGUCUGGUGGGUAGUUUGACUGGGGCGGUCUCCUCCUAAAGAGUAACGGAGGAGCACGAAGGUUGGCUAAUCCUGGUCGGACAUCAGGAGGUUAGUGCAAUGGCAUAAGCCAGCUUGACUGCGAGCGUGACGGCGCGAGCAGGUGCGAAAGCAGGUCAUAGUGAUCCGGUGGUUCUGAAUGGAAGGGCCAUCGCUCAACGGAUAAAAGGUACUCCGGGGAUAACAGGCUGAUACCGCCCAAGAGUUCAUAUCGACGGCGGUGUUUGGCACCUCGAUGUCGGCUCAUCACAUCCUGGGGCUGAAGUAGGUCCCAAGGGUAUGGCUGUUCGCCAUUUAAAGUGGUACGCGAGCUGGGUUUAGAACGUCGUGAGACAGUUCGGUCCCUAUCUGCCGUGGGCGCUGGAGAACUGAGGGGGGCUGCUCCUAGUACGAGAGGACCGGAGUGGACGCAUCACUGGUGUUCGGGUUGUCAUGCCAAUGGCACUGCCCGGUAGCUAAAUGCGGAAGAGAUAAGUGCUGAAAGCAUCUAAGCACGAAACUUGCCCCGAGAUGAGUUCUCCCUGAGACUUAGAGUCUCCUGAAGGAACGUUGAAGACGACGACGUUGAUAGGCCGGGUGUGUAAGCGCAGCGAUGCGUUGAGCUAACCGGUACUAAUGAACCGUGAGGCUUAACCUUACAACGCCGAAG